GGGUCUGCCUGUGGUACGUGACUAGCCUUUAAAUAUGCUGAUUGUUUCACUGCAGCAACUUGCCUGUCUGAUUUGAGCAGAUCAAGUCUGUUUUUGAUGAAGCUGGCGUCUAUGGCCUUGGCCAAAAGACUGUCCAUGCUGAUUGAGAAAUUCAGGGGUCUCUGACCAUUGGGACCAUGCCUUUUGGACACACUUUCAACACAUUCUUUGAUUGCAGAAAUUUCCCCUGGUUUGAGGGAUUCAAACUUGGAGAUUACCCAAUCUAAAGAGUGACCAUAGACUGCCACCACCCCCCGGCGUUUGCCGAGGGCGCACAAGGCCACGUGGUGAAAUAUUUCAGUGUCUGGGGUAGAGUUCAUCAAGUGUGGUGAGAUGGAGGACAGUGAGAGCUCUGGAAGCCAUGUGUGCAACAUCUGCAGCGUUGGCUCGCGAGGGAGCUGCUUGGUAAGUGUGAUGUGAGAGGCAGCAGACUCUUCCGCCAUCUGAGUCACGAGGUGCAGAAACUGUUUGUUUGUUACCUCCCCCAUACAAAAGAGGCCGUGGCUGGCGGGAUAAAUAGUCUGAACCCAGCCCACCUCAGCAUCUGCCAGGUGCUCCACGUUGAUGGGUACAGGUUUGAAGGAGGGCACGGCCUGCAGGAGCCUGUCAUGAUCUAGCACCAGUUCCUUUUCAAGGGUUGGAUAUUUCUUUAUGUCCACAUAUCCUCCCACGUAUAUAGGUGCAUCAGCCAUGUUGGGGCGAUAUGUGAUAGUUGGAAAGCCAAUGUCUCCUGGCCUGCAGGCGCUACUGUCUAAAAUUUUAUUUAAGGAUAAAUUAAAUACGCUAUCCUCGACAGAAUUGAGGUUGUUACAUGCUAUCCUCUGUCACCUGUAUAAUUUUACCACCAAUUGUUACCUGUUCAAGUAUGCUCUCUAUAACACUGGUACAUAUGACAAUGGUGUCCUGGGCAGAAAAGUGCCCAUACAGUUUUGGACUCUGCUCUAUGAGGUGUGCCUAGAGAGUGGCCUGACAACGAAGGACCUCACUGACGAGACCGUGGCGGCCAGCCUCUGGUAUCGCCUGAACACGGCCGAUGAUGGAACGCUGUGUGGGUUCUGUGAAAAGAUUUUUAAAAAGCUGGGUCUGACCCAUCAUGUGGCGCUCGACCUAGUGAAUCUGAGAGAUGGUAACCUGCUGUUCAACCUGGGAAGCACCAUCCCUUGCAGGCUCCUGAUGUGCCUGCUCUUUUGUCUGAAAAAUUGGGGAGCGCAAGGCCUGGAGCCUUGGGUCAGGCACUACGUGGGAAAGUUCUUCCUCUUGUACUUGAUUCUGGCUGGUUAUCUUCUCCCCAGGAAAGAGUGUGUGGAAUUUGCCGCCACCCAGUCAUACGCUGGGCUAAUGGAAACCAUCUGUGCUGACAUCUUGACUUUCCAGGGGUCCCAGGCCCUUUCCCUCCCACCAGAUAAUUAUCUGCAGGAACUUGAUCAGUUGUUUACUUUUAACAACAGCUUUAUUUCUUACACCACGGCCACUGUAACAGGAAGUGCCCCCAACACACAAAAAUAAACAUAAUCAUAAACA
rnacentral:tmRNA from 1 species